rnacentral:rRNA from 1 species
CCUACGGGAGGCAGCAGUGGGGACUAUUUCACAAUGGGGGAAACCCUGAUGCAGCGACGCCGCGUGAGUGAAGAAGUAUUUCGGUACGUACAGCUCUAUCAGCAGGGAAGAAAAUGACGGUACCUGACUAAGAAGCCCCGGCUAACUACGUGCCAGCAGCCGCGGUAAUACGUAGGGGGCAAGCGUUAUCCGGAUUUACUGGGUGUAAAGGGAGCGUAGACGGCAGCGCAAGUCUGGAGUGAAAUCCCAUGGCUUAACCAUGGAACUGCUUUGGAAACUGUGCUGAUAGAGUGCAGGAGAGGUAAGCGGAAUUCCUAGUGUAGCGGUGAAAUGCGUAGAUAUUAGGAGGAACACCAGUGGCGAAGGCGGCUUACUGGACUGUAACUGACGUUGAGGCUCGAAAGCGUGGGGAGCAAACAGGAUUAGAUACCCUUGUAGUC